CUCCAGGUACUGUCAUUAUCAUCCCGGGUAAAAGAGCUUUACAACCCUAAGGCCUUCAUCACUCACGCGGCAUUGCUGGAUCAGGCUUUCGCCCAUUGUCCAAUAUUCCCCACUGCUGCCUCCCGUAGGAGUCUGGGCCGUGUCUCAGUCACCAGUGUGGCUGAUCAUCCUCUCAGACCAGCUAAGGAUCGUCGCCUUGGUGCGCUUUUACCUCACCAACUAGCUAAUCCUACGCGGGCUCAUCCUUGGGCGAUAAAUCUUUGGACUUACGUCAUUAUCCGGUAUUAGCAGCAAUUUCUCGCUGUUAUUCCGAACCCAAGGGCAGAUUCCCACGCGUUACGCACCCGUGCGCCACU
rnacentral:rRNA from 1 species